rnacentral:rRNA from 1 species
AACGAACGCUGGCGGCAGGCUUAACACAUGCAAGUCGAGCGCCCCGCAAGGGGAGCGGCAGACGGGUGAGUAACGCGUGGGAAUCUACCCAUCUCUACGGAAUAACGCAUGGAAACGUGUGCUAAUACCGUAUACGUCCUUCGGGAGAAAGAUUUAUCGGAGAUGGAUGAGCCCGCGUUGGAUUAGCUAGUUGGUGGGGUAAAGGCCUACCAAGGCGACGAUCCAUAGCUGGUCUGAGAGGAUGAUCAGCCACACUGGGACUGAGACACGGCCCAGACUCCUACGGGAGGCAGCAGUGGGGAAUCUUGCGCAAUGGGCGAAAGCCUGAUCCGGCCAUGCCGCGUGAGUGAUGAAGGCCCUAGGGUUGUAAAGCUCUUUCACCGGUGAAGAUAAUGACGGUAACCGGAGAAGAAGCCCCGGCUAACUUCGUGCCAGCCGCCGCCGUAACAC